UACGGAGGGUGCAAGCGUUACUCGGAAUCACUGGGCGUAAAGCGCGCGCAGGCGGUCUUUUAAGUUGGAUGUGAAAGCCUACGGCUCAACCGUAGAACUGCAUCCAAAACUAUUAGACUAGAGUGUGGGAGAGGAAGAUGGAAUUAGUUGUGUAGGGGUAAAAUCCGUAGAGAUAACUAGGAAUACCAAAAGCGAAGGCAAUCUUCUGGAACACUACUGACGCUGAGGCGCGAAAGCGUGGGGAGCAAACAGGAUUAGAUACCCUGGUAGUCCACGCAGUAAACGAUGAAUGUUAGUCGUCGGGGGCCUAGUGUCUUCGGUGAUGCAGCUAACGCAUUAAACAUUCCGCCUGGGGAGUACGGUCGCAAGAUUAAAACUCAAAGGAAUAGACGGGGACCCGCACAAGUGGUGGAGCAUGUGGUUUAAUUCGAAGAUACGCGAAGAACCUUACCUAGCCUUGACAUAUAUUAGAAUCACCCAGAGAUGGGAGAGUGCCUUCGGGAGCUUUUAUACAGGUGCUGCACGGCUGUCGUCAGCUCGUGUCGUGAGAUGUUGGGUUAAGUCCCGCAACGAGCGCAACCCUCGUCACUAGUUACUAACGGUUCGGCCGAGGACUCUAGUGAGACUGCCUUCGCAAGGAGGAGGAAGGUGAGGACGACGUCAAGUCAUCAUGGCCCUUACGGCUAGGGCAACACACGUGCUACAAUGGCCAGGACAGUGAGACGCGAUACCGCGAGGUGGAGCAAAUCUAUAAACCUGGUCUCAGUUCGGAUUGUAGUCUGCAACUCGACUACAUGAAGCUGGAAUCACUAGUAAUCGUAGAUCAGCUAUGCUACGGUGAAUACGUUCCCGGGUC
rnacentral:rRNA from 1 species